rnacentral:lncRNA from 1 species
AGGAAGAGAGAGGAGUUAGGACGAGAGUGCCGCAGGGUCCUCCCACACCAGCAUCCCCUCUUCUGUGGUCCCGGGUGGAUGCUGAGCCAUUGGGUGUCUCUCUCAUCUGCUAAUAGAAAUGGCACCCCGGAGAGCUGGUCUUUUCAUUCCAUUUCUCCCGACCUCCCUCAGCAAAUGCUAAUUGAAUUUCCAGUUCUGUGAGAGAGAACUGGAAUCGGAUUCCCAGGCCCCAGGGAGUGGUGCCUGGCAUAACCACUGCUCUGCAAAACAACGCUGCACUUCUGUGGGUGAAAGUGCAGCCGCUCCAUUGCUUUGCUUUGAAUGAGCACUUUUUCUCGUCAGCUAGAGGUGCCAGGGCAGCCGAGGGGAACUGCCAGCGACAACAGGAGCAACUUCUUUUUCGGCGGGACCCUAGCACACCCCUUGCUACACGCGCCAGCAAAGAGCAAAGCCACGUGUCCAUCCCUGGGGACGUCCCUCCUAUGUGCCAUCUCAUCUGCCACACCAGACAAAUCAAAUGCACAGAGAGCUUUGUCUGCAAACUUUGACUUGAAGGGGUCUUAAAACCAUGCAUUUACACGUUUGGGGGACAAAUAAUUUCGAUGUUUAAAAGAGAGUUGGCAGCUAAUUGAGAUGGUGCACAGGUGUGCUGUGGCCCACGGUGUGGAGGUAGCCAGGCGUGGCCAUCCCUCUAGAAAGAGGAAUGCGUUGGUCACUCAGAAUGUCACUUAGAUCGACGAAGCAGAACUGCACUUUUUUUGCAUUCAAAUUUUUAUUCAAAGUUUAGUCUCUCUCCUUGGGUUUCCCCUCUUUUAUGAAAUGAUCAAUUUUGGCGAAGAGCCCCCAGAAAGCAAGAUAGAAAAGAAAUAUGCUCUUUACCGUGGCCGAUCAGCAACGAACCAACACUGUCCUCAUCUAAUUCUACGUCUUCCACACUGCCCAGUAACACAAAUAACCAGAGCGCAGACGCCAAGAAUCCUUCCAAGUAACGCAGCUAACAGACCAAGGUGACAGUUCUGACUUCUUGGGGGGUUUUCCAAGUACAUACGUAGCAUUAUAAACAAGCCUCUAUGUUGUGCUUACACAACUCACUCAAGGGAUUUUUGUUUUCACAAGUGAAAACGUUUAUGAAAUGCUAGCCUGCGAAGCCGCUUCAGGAACCAUCUAGUGAGAUUUCCCUCCCAAGACAGGCAGCUUUCUCACAUACCGUGGAGGCCUCCUGCCGGCCUGGGGACUGACAGGUGCAGGGCCCUGCCCCUCGAGGGCCAGCCUCUCCCUCGGGAGCGUGGGUUUUUCCUGUUUGAUCCUGGCUUAACUUGAACAUCUCUGGCAUUGGAGCUGCCCUCUGGAGUAGCCCAGAAGUUGGCACUCACCUCACCUUUUGCUGCAUUUCCAAGAGAUCAGCCUUUGGACUUCCUGGAAAGUGGUAGAACCACUGUCCUAUGAAACAAAGUGCUUCUGUGCUGAAAUGGAGUAAGUUCCCUGCAGCCUCUGGCAAGCUCAGGAGCCAAAGCUCAGCCAGCCCGAAGGAGCCAGGAUUAGAGCCUGCAUGGAUGCAACAGUCACGCUUCUCUCUAUUACGUGUCUUGCAACUUGGAGUCACAUGAUCUCAGCAUCUGAUCCACCCUGGGCUCAGAACCUCCCAGAACCUCCCAGAAUCGAGGCUCACGGCAGAGGUUCUGCACUCACCAAGGACGCGGGGGGACCAUGUCUGUGCUCAUGUGGAUCCCCGCUGCUGGGCAGAGCACACCACACAUCCAGACUCAACAAAAUACAUGGAGUCAAAGGUCAGGUGACUGAAUCAAUGAGUAUGUUACACACCAAGAAAGACCCCUCCUCUCUGCACCCCGGGGAGCAGCCCCAGAAGCCUGGUCUCCUCCAGGAUGAAAAUGCAAACGCAGGUGCCUGGGGGCUCCCAGAGCCUUUGGCUUCACGGUUCCCUCCCGGCCCUGCCUGGAGCUUCAUGUGCCUCCCCUUUUGCUUAAUGAGAGCCGCUGUCUAAGAGUUAAGGGUUUUCUGGGUGACGUUUAACAAUAAUAAAGGUGACUGCUUAUCUAAGGAAUCCGA